rnacentral:rRNA from 1 species
GACAGAGGGUGCGAACGUUGCUCGGAAUUACUGGGCGUAAAGCGCGUGUAGGCGGGUGAUCAAGUCAGGUGUGAAAUCCCUGGGCUCAACCCAGGAACUGCACUUGAAACUGGUCGCCUUGAGUGUUGGAGAGGGAAGCGGAAUUCCUGGUGUAGAGGUGAAAUUCGUAGAUAUCAGGAGGAACACCGGUGGCGAAGGCGGCUUCCUGGACAACUACUGACGCUGAGACGCGAAAGCGUGGGGAGCAAACAGG